rnacentral:lncRNA from 1 species
AUGGUGGUUCCAGGUUCCCCAACAGGUGCUCUAGAUUACUUACACACCAGUGAUUCCAUCUCUUUUCUAUUCCCUGUGGAUGGUUUUCCCCUCCCUCUCUCAGAUUUGCUUUUAACAGGCAACUGCCUGCCUGUCCAACUGUCUUUUCCGUUGAAAUCUGGCCUGCAGUUGCCUCUGAGCAAUUAUGCAAACAGUAGGAUGAAGCACAGACGCGGGAUCGUGGCUCACAUUACAUGUGUUGCAGCUGGUCUGCCUUUGGAAAGCUUACUCUAUUAAAGGCAGCUGUUCAUGAUUUCUGAAAGCUGGAGGUUCAGACAAGUGCUGUGUAAGAGCUAUGUAUUGCUCUUACACUUCUGAAGUGCUUAGUUAAUUGUAUGAUGGAUAAGCUUUUAUUGCACAGUAUGCUAAAUGGAUGUAAAAUAUGUUUGCAUAGGCAACUAAAUAUCUGAAUUAGCAUUGGUUAUUUGUUCAUAGGAAUUGUGUAUUGCAUUUGAGUGCUUAGACUCUAGGUUAUGUUCAUCCUGAUUUUGUGCAGGACCUAUUUGGAAGCAAGGGCAAGUCUUGCUUUUAAAAUACUUGUCUUUUAAAAAAAGACAGUCUUGCUGUGCAGCAGAUUCCUGUAUGCUGUUCAAUUACAGCAUGUGGAAUUGGGGGGCAGAGGCAAAACUUCUUUGGAGAGGACAGGGCAUUUUAAGUAUCACUAUACUCGAAGUAACAGAAGAUAUGAUAUAUAUCCGUGAGCAUUGCAAGGUGACAGAAACCAUCCUAAAUAAGGUAGCUCUUCUGUUUUCUGAAAAUCUGUAACACAUAUCCACUUACCGUAUAGGAAAAACUUUGGUAUUUCUCUUGACUUACUGGCCUUAGGAUUUGAUGCACAACCUUAUACUGCAGUGACAAGGUAUUUUGAAAUAGAAAAAAAUGCUGUGACAUGGACCUGAUAAAAAUCAUCCAUGGCAGGACCCCACCAGUUGUUCUGUAUAAAACUUCCAUCUUUUUCACACUUGAAUCUCAGCAGUCUUGUGAAUUACUCUGAUCCCACCCCCUCCAGCACACCUCUUCAAUUGAGAACAUCUAAUCUUGCUUCAAGCAAACCAGCUUCAUGGGUUGAAAAGUCCAAAGUACAAUUGAAUCUCCAGCUGAGUGUUGAAUUUAUGGCAUGCGUUUUCAGAGCCACAAGCAGCCCUUGGCUGCACUAGCUCUGCUUUGGCCCUAAG